CCUACGGGAGGCAGCAGUGGGGAAUCUUGCGCAAUGGGGGAAACCCUGACGCAGCAACGCCGCGUGGGUGAUGAAGGCCUUCGGGUCGUAAAGCCCUGUCAGGUGGGAAGAAACUUGUGGAUGUUAAUACCAUCCAUGCUUGACGGUACCACCGGAGGAAGCACCGGCUAACUCCGUGCCAGCAGCCGCGGUAAUACGGAGGGUGCAAGCGUUGUUCGGAAUUAUUGGGCGUAAAGCGCGUGUAGGUGGUCGUGUAAGUCAGAUGUGAAAGUCUUCUGCUUAACAGAAGAAGUGCAUUUGAAACUGCCGCUCUUGAGUGCGGGAGAGGGAAGCGGAAUUUCCAGUGUAGAGGUGAAAUUCGUAGAUAUUGGAAGGAACACCGGUGGCGAAGGCGGCUUCCUGGACCGUUACUGACGCUGAGACGCGAAAGCGUGGGGAGCAAACAGGAUUAGAUACCCUGGUAGUCCACGCAGUAAACGAUGAGCACUAGGUGUUGCGGGUAUCGACCCCUGCAGUGCCGAAGCAAACGCAUUAAGUGCUCCGCCUGGGGAUUACGGUCGCAAGACUAAAACUUAAAGGAAUUGACGG
rnacentral:rRNA from 1 species